UUACCCAAUCAAAGGUGAGCGCGCGACUGCUAAUAGGGGGGAGGAGGGAGUCAGGAGGAGGAAAGAAAAGCCCAAGCUGACAACUUGGCACACUCAGCCUGCAGGGCUUCGCAAGGAUUGCGGGGCAAGAAAAACGCAGCAAAGCAACUCGACCUCGGGCGCCUUUACUCAGAGGCGACAUCAGGCUGCCAUCCUGUCGACAUGCCUUGGGGAGUAAAACCCACACGAACUCUCAGCAGUGCCUACUUCUGAGGAAACAGACAUGCACAACUUUGUGUGCCGCAGAAAUCACCCUAGGUCUGCCUGUCAAUCAAUGGCUGAGGUCUCCUGCGCAUGGACUUGGAAGUGAGCCCCACUAAAUUCAGCAGGGCAACUUUAGAAGUGUGCACUGCACAAGUUUCACUGCUCUCCAUAGAACAGCAUGCGUGGUUUUCCCCCCAAUGUCUCUUGUUACUUGGUCUCGCCCGCCAAAGUUAAUAGUGUGUGAAUUCAAAAAGGGCACUUUGAAGCAAUGCGUUUAACUCGCAACAACCCAGAGUUAGAACAAAGUGCCAAAAGGGUGAUUAUGUUUUAAAUGAAAACAUUUUCCCCUUCCUUAAUCUGUGAUAUUAAUGUUGCUUUCUUGGAGUUAAUAAUUCACCAUAACAAGUAAUCCGUUUACUGUGACAUACAGUUGAUACCACAGAUGUUGACCAUUAGAUGUCAAAGAGUGCCAUUUUCACAUUUCCAUGUGUUAUGGUGUUCCAGUAAAACCAGGUAAGUGAAGCACUGGGCUCUGGGGAGGAGGCACAAGGGCUCUUACAGGGUCCUAGAGUCCUCACAGCUCCUUCUCAAAGCCUAGUUUGCACUUUCCCAGCUUUGGGAAGCAGCUAAGGGGGCUCUUGAGACCCUGCUACACCCUUGUUCCUCCAUCCCAAAGCCUGGCACCCGGCUUAGUCAGCUUAGGAAAGGCAGAGCAAGGGGUGGUUUCUGUAUGUGUGAAAUUUGGUCUUGCUCCCCACCCCCCUAGACUCUUGUCAGUGCAAUCUAUGCAUAUUCACUGAGAAGUAAGUCCCACUGUGUUCAGCUGUAGUGCUUACACUUAAAUGAAUUCACAUAGGAAUGUGGUACCUAUAUGUAUAAACCUGCAUUUUUCUAACUAGUACAGAGGUGCCUAAACAAUUCAGAGAUACACUUCGAGCUUCCAUCUUAGCAAGGAAACAGCAUACAAAUGGGGAUAUGCAGUGGGGGGGGGGAGAGUAAAUUUAAGGAACCACAGAAAGAGGGGGAGGGAAGUUGAGGCUUGAUAUGUAAGGAUUAUUUUUGUUGAAAUGUUUGUUAUAAAUGAAAUCAUAAAUAAAAAACUUUUUAAAAGGAAGCAGCGUACAAAUCACUUAUUUUUAGGCCUUUCUUGCAUGUGCCAAUUGCAGAUUUUUGAAUGUGUGGGUUAAGUACCCUAACAAUUUUGACUCCACCAUAAACUAGUCAAGUAAUAUCAAGUAUUUCUAUUAUAUUGGGUAAAUUCAUAUGAAGAAAAGGUAAAUCACUUACCAGUACAUUUUUAGGGACUACAUCAUUCAUCCCUUUUUGUGCUUCUGUUUCUCUUGAAUGCAUUACCAAAAACAGUUUAUGGAAUUUCAUUCUGACAAGUGUGAAUAAAAAUCAGCUAAAAGAGGGCUUUAAAAAGAUCUUCAUCCCUUCAGAGAAACUAAAUCUUACUUGGUUUAAGCAUAAGCUUCAUAUAGCCUGGGAAUAGGAGGCAAAGCAUUUAGAUCUGCUGUGUAGAUGUAAAGGAAGAACUUCAUCCUUCAGUGUUUAUUUCAAAAUGUGUUAUUUCCUGAGAGAAUAGCUUUCAGCACUUUGGUGAAAUUCUCAUUUCUUGUCUAGGGGAAAUUAUUUCCAAUCUUCAGCUUGCUGUUUCUGUAAGAAAAAUUUGAUCUCUCUUGGCUGUCUCAAAAUGUUUUGAAUUACAUUUGUUCUUCAGUAUAUGGAAUAUUUGUAUAACUCAGUCUUUUAAAAGAGAACAUAUAUAGUAAAUCUUUUACUGUGCUUGGAAGUGUUGAUAUAAUCUGACUGUAUCUCACUAACAAUAGUAGCUGCUUUAAUGGUAGUGAGAGCUCAAAACUUCCACCCCCUGAAACUCUCCCUUGCUUAUUGUAGAAAUAGGCCACAACUUGUAACUAAUAGAAAGGAAUUCAACCUGAAUAGCACUUACACUUACUAAAAUAAAGAGGGUUAUUGUA